rnacentral:rRNA from 1 species
UAAAGAUUCAUCGCUGAUAGAUAGGCAUGCGUUCCAUUAGGCAGUUGGCGGGGUAACGGCCCACCAAACCGACGAUGGAUAGGGGUUCUGAGAGGAAGGUCCCCCACAUUGGUACUGAGACACGGACCAAACUCCUACGGGAGGCAGCAGUGAGGAAUAUUGGUCAAUGGGCGUAAGCCUGAACCAGCCAAGUCGCGUGAGGGAUGAAGGUUCUAUGGAUCGUAAACCUCUUUUAUAAGGGAAUAAAGUGCGGGACGUGUCCCGUUUUGUAUGUACCUUAUGAAUAAGGAUCGGCUAACUCCGUGCCAGCAGCCGCGGUAAUACGGAGGAUCCGAGCGUUAUCCGGAUUUAUUGGGUUUAAAGGGUGCGUAGGCGGCCUUUUAAGUCAGCGGUGAAAGUCUGUGGCUCAACCAUAGAAUUGCCGUCGAAACUGGGAGGCUUGAGUAUGUUUGAGGCAGGCGGAAUGCGUGGUGUAGCGGUGAAAUGCUUAGAUAUCACGCAGAACCCCGAUUGCGAAGGCAGCCUGCCAAGCCAUGACUGACGCUGAUGCACGAAAGCGUGGGGAUCAAACAGGAUUAGAUACCCUGGUAGUCCACGCAGUAAACGAUGAUCACUAGCUGUUUGCGAUACAGUGUAA